rnacentral:rRNA from 1 species
AUUGAACGCUGGCGGCAGGCCUAACACAUGCAAGUCGAACGAGUGGCAGACGGGUGAGUAAUGUCUGGGAAACUGCCUGAUGGAGGGGGAUAACUACUGGAAACGGUAGCUAAUAACGCAUACCAUCGGAUGUGCCCAGAUGGGCUUAGCUAGUUGGGGGGGUAACGGCUCACGUAGGCGACGAUCCCUAGCUGGUCUGAGAGGAUGACCGGCACCACUGGAACUGAGACACGGUCCAGACUCCAACGGUAGGCAUGAGUGGGGAAUAUUGCAUGAUGGUCGCAAGCCUGAUGCAGACAUGCCGAGAGUAUGAAGAAGGCCUUGGGGUUGUAAAGUACUUUCAGCGGGGAGGCGUUACCCGCAGAAGAAGCACCGGCUAACGCCGUGCCAGCCGCGGUAAUUC